CAUCUCCUUCUCGCUAUGUGGGGUGGAUCACACAGGUCUCAGGCGAGUUCAAGUGAAAACGCAAUUCUCUCCCGGUUGUAGCUACGGUUGCCAUUCAUUCUUAAAUUGAAUUUUGCUUCGAAAGGUCGCUUCUCUAGCAAAGCUUACGCUUAACGAAAGUGGGUUUCAUUAAUACAGAUAUUCAAGAAAGCUUUCCAGACCAUCUUUCUACUUUGAUGCCCUGAAGAAGAAACAAAAUCAUGGGAAAAAUGAUCAAUGUUGCAAUUUCAGAUAUAGUGGAGAUGAUAGCCAACCAUUUACUCUUCAAGGUUUACAAAGCGGAUGAUGAUGACAUCGACGGUGAUUAUUAAUAUCUUUGUGUCGUAGGUGUCUUGAUCCAAUUAAAUUAUGGGAGCCCGUAGCCACUUCAGUAUGUCGUAAAUGUUGCUUUCUUAGCUACUGACGUGCGUCGGAGUAUAUAUAUUUUUAAUGUAUAUUUUAGUUCUUUUUACUCGCCGAUUCAAGUUUUA
rnacentral:lncRNA from 1 species